rnacentral:rRNA from 1 species
AGAACGAACGCUGGCGGCAUGCCUAACACAUGCAAGUCGAACGAGACCUUCGGGUCUAGUGGCGCACGGGUGCGUAACGCGUGGGAAUCUGCCCUUGGGUUCGGGAUAACAGUUGGAAACGACUGCUAAUACCGGAUGAUGACUUCGGUCCAAAGAUUUAUUGCCCAGGGAUGAGCCCGCGUAGGAUUAGCUAGUUGGUGAGGUAAAGGCUCACCAAGGCGACGAUCCUUAGCUGGUCUGAGAGGGUGAUCAGCCACACUGGGACUGAGACACGGCCCAGACUCCUACGGGAGGCAGCAGUGGGGAAUAUUGGACAAUGGGCGAAAGCCUGAUCCAGCAAUGCCGCGUGAGUGAUGAAGGCCUUAGGUUGUAAAGCUCUUUUACCCGGGAAGAUAAUGACUGUAACCGGGAGAAGUAAGCCCCGGCUAACUCCGUGCCAGCAGCCGC